ACUCUCUGAGCCUUGGUGUGACUUCAUUUCAGAUGGUUCUUCAAGUAUUCUAUCCGAUGCCAGACUCUUGCUCUCUUCAGGGAGAAAACAAGCAACAGGCACAACUUUCGGAGAUUUUUUUUUGCGAGCUGCAUAAACUCGCGCUUUCACAGAGCUGCUGGAGGGACUCCGCCCUGGCCAUGUGUGUAGGAAGUCGCGGCCUCCCAGCGUGCACAGAACCCAGCCUCUGGUGCACAGGCUGAGUUGAUUCCCAGGCACUGUCACUUAUCUCUCCCCUGCUCUUGCCAGAAUUCAGAAACUGAAAAUAUUUACUUUGUGUUGGCUUGACAAAACCCAGUAAAUAGCAACAUUUGCAGGGCCCAGAACACAUGCCAAAGGAGCAGAGGAAAGAGGGUCCGAAUAGGCCGUUAUACUUACAAGAGGGGUUCUCUGAGCUGGGAUGCGAAACCCAGAGACAGUCAAGUCUCAGAUUUCUUUGGCCUCUGAAGUCAGCAUUUAUUGACCAGGCUUUGGAACCGAAUAAAAGUAUGAUCUGCCCCCCAUUUUCAUUUCUAAAUCUCUUUCUGGGAAAUGUAGCUGAAAAGGGUUUUCAAGUCAUUUUCUUUGUUUCUAUUAGGCGAUUGCUCAUUCACUCAAUGAGUAAUUUAAUACAUUUUUACUGAACUACCACCAUUUUCUAGGAUCUGUUCUGGGUGAUGGAGAUUCAAUAAAGACCAAAAAGAAUCUCUCAACUCAAGAAAAUAAAUCAACAGGUUAAUUUCAGAUUGAGACAAAAGGUAUGAAAGAAUCAAACUAAUGGAUUUGAUAGAGAAUAAUUGUGAAGCUGUGUUAGAUAAGGGAUUAGAGCCGGUUUCUCUGAGAUGCUAGUAUUCGACUCAAGACCUAAAGGGAAAGAGGCAGCCAUGAAAAAAACUAGUACACCAGAUUUUAAGGCAGAAGGAACUGUAAAUGUAAAGAUCCUAUUGGGGCAAGUGUGAGCUUCAUAGACUAAAGGAAUGAAAAGAUCCUGGAGGGCAGGGACCAAGUGAAUGAAGGGUAUGGGGUAGAAGUUAUCUAUAUCACUAUCUCACUACCGUUAUUUUUUCAAGCUAUUUUUUUUUAUUCUUGUACAUGACGCUGCACCUCUUUAAUCACCAGGAACAUAAAAAUGCUUGAUGUAAGCAGAGUUUCUUGCAGAAGUUAAGUGGAAGCAAAAUGAAGCACUGCCAACAUCCUCCAAAGACAUGGUGAAAUGGUGAAGCCCAGGAGGCUAGGCGACACUAGGACACAUGGCCACACAACAACCUGAUCUAAAUUCUAGCUGGAAGGAGAACAGAGCAGAGUCCGCUUUUAACCUGGCCCUGAGCCGCUGAGAAUGAGGAAGAGGCUGCAGCAGAAGGCCAUUUGUCUUUGUUAUUAGGAAAUAAAUCAACCUUUGUUUU